rnacentral:rRNA from 1 species
UACGGGGGGGGCAAGCGUUGUUCGGAAUUACUGGGCGUAAAGGGGUCGUAGGUGGCUUGUUAAGUCAGACAUGAAAUCCCUCGGCUCAACCGGGGAACUGCGUCUGAGACUGAUGAGCUCGAGUGCAGGAGAGGAACGCGGAAUUCCAGGUGUAGCGGUGAAAUGCGUAGAUAUCUGGAGGAACACCGGUGGCGAAGGCGGCGUUCUGGACUGCAACUGACACUGAGGAACGAAAGCCAGGGGAGCAAACGGG